AUUAAAAGUUUUUUUCUUGUUUUGAAAAUGAAAACUUUUACUGCUACAGUUUUUGAAAAUCUCAUUGCUCACUGAUUUAAAAGUUUUUACUUUUAAUUCGACUGUAAAAUUUCUUUCAUUUUGACGUUCUCGUGUAACCGUGUACGCCUAAGUCGCAAAUGUAAACAAACACUUUGGUGGGUCCGGUGGUGCUGGUGAGUCUAGGACGCAAAGCAAAGCCGACCGCGGCAGCAGCCAGGACUCGGACGCGGAAACCUUCGUGAGCCAAACAGCAGCAGCGGAACGCCUUCGAAGGAGGGUGGUGCAGGAGCGGGACGAGGUCGAGUGCUCGAAAAGGACAAGGCCAGCUUCCUGCAGGAACUGCAGCUGUUCCACGGCCGGAAUGCGAUGAGAGGUAGGAAUGUGGAUUCGCACCGGUUGUAUUGGGUGGUGGUGGCCCGGGAUUGGUGGUUGAAGGUCAAUUCGCGUGAGAUUAACUUCCGGUUUUUGGACAAGUACGCGAAAGUUUAUUUUCACGAUGGGCCUCCGACGAAGAGGAGGACGACGAAAAGCUACAUAAUCGGAAGUGGUCAGCGCAGAUGUUGCACUCGGUGCCGGCGGUUUACAGCACCGCAACUUCCCGCCUACAAACACUCACGUCUCGACGGCGCAGCUUCAGCCGAAUGAAUCUGGACAGUGAGCCAAAAAAAAAAUCUGUGUCAUUCUCGAAGUAGGAUUACGUGCUCAAAAUCGAACUCCGUUCCGAGGGCCUCAUCAACUCUAUGUUCCGGAUGCGCUUCCAGGAUCGGGAACUCCCCGUUCAGGCACUUUAUUUUCCAGCCGGGAAACGUCGACCACCCUUCCCGUAUCAAUGGCCAACUCCUCCAAGACUGUCCUGAUUGAGGCCGGAAACGUGACCAUCGUGUUACACUGCUGUCGCGCGUCGAAGCCUCCAUCCGGAACCGUCCAGCCUGGGGUAUUCGGAAGUGACCGGUGGCGUAC